rnacentral:rRNA from 1 species
AUUGAACGCUGGCGGCAGGCCUAACACAUGCAAGUCGAGCGGAUGAAGGGAGCUUGCUCCUGGAUUCAGCGGCGGACGGGUGAGUAAUGCCUAGGAAUCUGCCUGGUAGUGGGGGAUAACGUCCGGAAACGGGCGCUAAUACCGCAUACGUCCUGCGGGAGAAAGUGGGGGAUCUUCGGACCUCACGCUAUCAGAUGAGCCUAGGUCGGAUUAGCUAGUUGGUGGGGUAAAGGCCUACCAAGGCGACGAUCCGUAACUGGUCUGAGAGGAUGAUCAGUCACACUGGAACUGAGACACGGUCCAGACUCCUACGGGAGGCAGCAGUGGGGAAUAUUGGACAAUGGGCGAAAGCCUGAUCCAGCCAUGCCGCGUGUGUGAAGAAGGUCUUCGGAUUGUAAAGCACUUUAAGUUGGGAGGAAGGGCAGUAAGUUAAUACCUUGCUGUUUUGACGUUACCAACAGAAUAAGCACCGGCUAACUUCGU